GUUUUGCCCUCUCCUCCUCCUCCCUCUCUCCCCACGUGUGCGUUUGGGAGACGGAGGAGAAGCUCUUCCCACCACAUCCCCUGCAGGAGAUGCACCACUGCACCUGCAGAGAGAUGAAGCUCGAUGAGACUUAGUCAUCAAAUUACCCAGGACAGGAUCCAAAAAUGUUCCCAGCUUCCUUUUGCACCAUGAUCCACUAAUAAAAGAACAAGGAUGAAACUGUUAGAACCAAUUAAACAAAUCACUUGAUGCAGGAGAAAGAAGUGGGAUUCACUGCACUAGCGAUCCCAGGGGCGUAAGCUAAACGUUGCAUUCCGUGCUCUCCGGUUAAUACAUGUCACCCGCGCGAGCUCCAAUGGAGAUAAAGCCAACAUCAUUCAAACAGCCAACACAAUCCCUUGCUCCAAGGCCUAAAACAACAAGAGGACAAAAUUCCCCUCCCAGCCACUCCAGCCGCCUGCCAGGUUUCGUAUUAAUGGCAGAAUUACAUCUCCUUCCAGGUAUGGCAAAGACACAGCUCGUCUCGCCACGGGCAUCUGCGAGCCUGCCCAGCGGGGAGCAGAGACGUCUGGAUGACACAAAAGCUGUCCCUCCUCCUCAGAGAAAAGUAAGGAGGCAUCGCUACAUCGCUGCCAUGCAGCUGCCGGAGCAAGGCAGCCCAUUUCUCCACCACCCCUGCACCGGAGCCAAGACCAACACAACUUAAAAUUAAUUUGGAAAGAGCGAAACAGCAGAAAGUAAAUAAAAUUAUCUUUUUAUUUGA